GACGAACGCUGGCGGCGUGCUUAACACAUGCAAGUCGAACGGAAAGGCCCUGCUUUUGUGGGGUGCUCGAGUGGCGAACGGGUGAGUAACACGUGAGUAACCUGCCCUUGACUUUGGGAUAACUUCAGGAAACUGGGGCUAAUACCGGAUAGGAGCUCCUGCUGCAUGGUGGGGGUUGGAAAGUUUCGGCGGUUGGGGAUGGACUCGCGGCUUAUUAGCUUGUUGGUGGGGUAGUGGCUUACCAAGGCUUUGACGGGUAGCCGGCCUGAGAGGGUGACCGGCCACAUUGGGACUGAGAUACGGCCCAGACUCCUACGGGAGGCAGCAGUGGGGAAUAUUGCACAAUGGGCGGAAGCCUGAUGCAGCAACGCCGCGUGCGGGAUGACGGCCUUCGGGUUGUAAACCGCUUUCGCCUGUGACGAAGCGUGAGUGACGGUAAUGGGUAAAGAAGCACCGGCUAACUAUGUG
rnacentral:rRNA from 1 species